rnacentral:ncRNA from 1 species
GAAACCUCAUCUUGCUCAAGCGCCAUCCGGGCGCCAGGGCAGUGUUUUUUGUAAAACACGAACAGUUCCGUUCGGAUGAGGAGAGAGG